UACGGAGGAUGCAAGCGUUAUCCGGAAUGAUUGGGCGUAAAGCGUCCGCAGGUGGCUUUGUAAGUCUGCUGUUAAAGAGUGAGGCUCAACCUCAUAAGAGCAGUGGAAACUACAAGGCUAGAGUACGUUCGGGGCAGAGGGAAUUCCUGGUGUAGCGGUGAAAUGCGUAGAGAUCAGGAAGAACACCGGUGGCGAAAGCGCUCUGCUAGGCCGUAACUGACACUGAGGGACGAAAGCUAGGGGAGCGAAUGGA
rnacentral:rRNA from 1 species